AAAAGUCCAGAAAGCCACACCAAAAAUAUUAAAACCAAUCUUUUCAUGGAUAAGGAAGCUUAACAAGGUAACUAAGAGGUAAGAAACAAAUUGGAUGAUAAAUUAUUAUUUUGAGGGUAUUUUAUGGUUGAUUUAAGACACGGGUCGAUGGCACUGACCCGUCUAACAUAAGAGACAGGAACAGAAAGCUAACAUAUGACGAAGGUUAAGCAAUAAUGUUAUUUUUUAACUGUUUUUUUUGGUAGCAUAUGAUUUUGGAUUUAUAAGGUCAUUUCAGUGUCCUUCAGUGUCACAUCAGUAGACAGAGCAAAACUAUAUCUGGACAUUUGAGGAACAUGAAUAACCUUCCUCUCUUUGCUGAGAGCUGAUGUCUGCGUUGCUGAAAGGAACCUCUGUGUACAGAUGCAUUAAUGUCUCGAUUAUGGAUGUCUGAGACAUUAGAAAUAGGGAAACUCAACAAUAGGGACAACAGAAGAGGAAGCAGAGAGGUGAUACAAUAUUAGUGGCCAGCAACCCCAAGCUACUCUGAGCUUCGUGUCACGUCACCCCCAACAGUUCAAAUGUGCGCUUCCUCAGUAGUGGAAUGAGCUGAGGAACCACGUCCAGUUAUCACCUUCACCUUCAAUAAUGUUUUUGUGUAGCUCCUGCUCCAAUACUGUGUAAAUACCUGUAUAAAUAUUAGAUGAAUAAAAAACGAUAAUGAGAUAUCAAUUAUCAAUCAUGAA